AGGAGGCAGCAGUAGGGAAUAUUGGGCAAUGGGCUAACGCCUGACCCAGCAACGCCGCGUGGAGGAUGAAGGUUUUUGGAUUGUAAACUCCUUUUGUGGGGGAAGAGCGAGGACGGUACCCCAAGAAUAAGUCACGGCUAACUACGUGCCAGCAGCCGCGGUAAUACGUAGGUGACGAGCGUUAUCCGGAAUUAUUGGGCGUAAAGCGCCCGCAGGCGGCUGUUCAAGUCUGACGUGAAAUCGCUCGGCUUAACUGGGCGGGGUCGUUGGAAACUGAAUAGCUUGAGGCAAGGAGAGGGGCGUGGAAUUCCCGGUGUAGUGGUGGAAUGCGUAGAUAUCGGGAGGAACAUCAGUGGCGCAAGCGGCGCCCUGGCCUUAGCCUGACGCUCAGGGGCGAAAGCGUGGGGAGCGAACGGGAUUAGAUACCCCGGUAGUCC
rnacentral:rRNA from 1 species